rnacentral:lncRNA from 1 species
AGGGAGAAUUCAGCUCAACCCCCCGACUUGAAGCAGAUCAAACCUCUGAAUUUCAGUUAUGUUAGCCAGAACCAUACCCCAAAGAGGGCAAUAACAGCGAAUCUGCCUUUACAUGCCUUGGGAGCAUCCCUAACCGGGAUGGCAGAGCUGUCGACCAGCCAAGACAGGGUUAAGGGGCAGCCUGGCCCCCACAAGGGUUUGGGGUUUAAAGGCAGGGGCGGGCAGUAUUUCCUUUCUCCCAGGUGGAGGGGAAGGCUGGGAGAUGUCCGAGGCUGCGCAGGGCUGGAGGGAAGCCACGGCUUUUUUUUUUUUUUUUUUCUCUCUCUCCACGGUGAAGCUCAAGCAAACUGCAGUCAGGAGAGCUGUGAAGCCCUGGUUUGAGGCCCAGGUCUGGUUCAAGGCCUGGACUUUCCUCUCUGAAGCUCUGGAUGACCUGGGACCCAAGAAGCGAUGGGGCAGCCACAGCAUGAAGGACCGCGGUAUGCACCGGCCGAACAUCUGCUGGUGGUAUGGGCUGUGUCACAACAAGGAGCGCUUUAAUCACGUAAUGAAAGCCACAUUCCUGUAAUUGUGUAAUAUAUGGACACAGCUCCGUAACAUCGCUUGUCUGAAUGCGAUACAAAUUGGAUGCAGAAGCGUGGUCUCUUUGGGAACAGCUCGUUGGAGGAUUGUUAUUUUUAUUUAUAAUACAACUUCAGUUGACUCCCUCCUCACUUUAUGUCCAUGUAUUUUACCUUGACGUUGCCUUGGGAUGAACCCCCCAAAGCUCUGCUUAGUUUGACCCUGUCUAGCACCCAGGUGGUGGCACAGCUUGUGGGCUGGCUGAGUCCUGAUUCAAUGGUAUCCACAACUGGGUGGGGAAUAACCAGCUGCAGCAGUUUCAGAUGGCACAAACCCUUGUUCUUCAGAGCGUGAAGCAACCACGGGUUGAUAGGGAUUAAAAAAGGGUGGCACAGGUCUUGUAGCCUUUCCAGAAAUAAACACUGCUGGUCAGAAAAACA